CCUUUGUCUUUCCAUUCGUAUACUUUUCUUAUGGACAAUGUAAAUGCUUUCCAUUUAUGGCUGCACGCGUCUUUUUUGGCCUUCAGCAUAUAAUCUUAAAAGGAGGCCACAUGAUUUAAAGUGUUUUAGUGUUCAAAUCGACUUGGCUAGCACCAGACUUCUCUCGUCAUGUCUGCAAAGAUUCCCAGUUUGAUUUUCUUAACAAAUUCUGUUUUAUUCGUUUGCAAAUUCACUGGAGUAUUCUGUUUGCCACAGGGCAACAGCUACUGUGCGUCUACGGAAGAAACAUUUUUUAAUGGAAAAUGUUUCCCGAUUGGCAAUACCGAACAAUGUCCAAAAAACAUGCAAUUAUUUGACGGACCUAACCAAGAUGGAUUUUGUGAUUGCGUAGACAUUGACGAUCGGCCAGCAUUUUAUUCAGAUGAAAUCGGUGAAUGUUAUUUUCACAACACUCAGGGUCCUUGCUUAGACAGUGAAUGGUUCGUUCUUAAAAACAAUGAACCCCAAUGUGAACCUGUUCCAGAAGGAUGUCCUGUUGAUGGGAAGCACUUUUUCGGAAGCCUAGAUGAAGCAGCGGUCAAAGAGUGUUGGGAAUUACGGACACAAGGACCUUGCCCAACUCGUGAAAUUUUGCUUAUUGAAGAUGGUAUUGGAGAAUUGACGAUGAAAUGCAAGUCUUUCUGUCCCAACUGUGAGGCCGGUUUUUUAACCUCUAUUGGAUUUCAAUCUUCCUGUCGGCCGGGUACUCUACGUAAUCGUUUCGGUCAUUGUAGUGGUAGUUUGAUUGGAUAAAUAUUGGGAUGGACCUAAUCCAGAGUUAUUCCGCCUCUUUCGGUUUCUUUUCCCAAAAGAGCCUCCACCAAUAGGGUCCUUGUACGAAUAAGGAAUGGGUGAAAAUCAAAAUAAUUCUAGUUAUAAUAAAGUUUUUUAGGCUGAUUCUCACACUAUAUUUCUAUUUUAUUUUUAAAAUUAUAAUUUCCCGACGUAGUUUCUCUUAAAAUUUUAGAUAAGCCCCUCCUGGAUUAAAACGGACCCCCGCCAUGUUUGGUGGGUGGUCCUUUAAGAGGGAUUAAUUUACAUUUCGUGUUCCUAUAACCAUAUUUUGCCCUUAGGGAUUAAAGGCGAAAUACAAAAAAGCUCUUAUUCCUGCCUCUUUUCUUCACUCGAUUGCAAUUUAAAAAGGUCAAUCGAUUCCAUAUUUGUUUGUUUAUAAAGCUGACGAAUUAUUUUUUUUUAAUUCAAUGUAGUUUAAAGAAAAAACAAAAUUAUAUCAAUUUCAAAAUCUGUAUCUUGUUGUUUACAAAAUUUUGAUUUUGAUCAAAAUCCUCUUUUCCUUAAAUUUGAGAUUUAAUUCCUUUUGUAAAGGGCUCUUUUCAUACAUAUCGCCGUUUUUUUAGUCGCAUAGCAUUCUCCUACCUCAUAGUCGGUCAUUUUGGGAUUUGUGAUUCCCCCUUCAUUCACCCCCAUGAGUGAUUUCCCAUAUCAUGGGAUAUCCCAAAAUGGCUUAAAUGUUUUUUUUUGCGUGGAAUGUCCCUAUAACGAGUUUGAUUUUUCAUUAAUUCAAAAAAAGGAUGACCAAUACUUUCAAGAAUUGUUUGCAAUAUGUAUACCUGGCGUCAUCAGAAGUAAAGUGAGUUUGAAUUUACCACCAAAAAUAGUCGCGCGACAUUUUUUGUCAAUUUUUCUUUAAUUGCACAAUCCUCAUGGUUCCCUAAAGUUUCAGGCUUAACUUUUAUGCAUUAAGUUUCAACUUAAUGCUAUGUUAUUAAUAAAUCACAUCAAUAAUUUGGCUAUUUUUUGCCACAUGUGAAGUAAAUUAAUUUGAUAAGGAAGUAUGAGUAACUGAUGGGAGGGGGCAACGGCACUGACUCAUUAUGUAAACACGCUUUAGUCAUGCUUUCCAAGUAAAUUGAAAGGCGUCUUUAAUUAAACAUUAUAAACUUAAAAUAACAAUAAAAAUUAUGAAAACUUUCUGUCCUCGAAAAUUAAAAUAAAUUUUCUAUUUGAAUUUAAGUGUGCCGAAGACUAAUGGUGCGUUUGUGUUAAAAAAUACGAUAAAACGCCCGUAUGUCACCCAUACAAAUUAAAAUAUACCCAAAGCUAGGCUCAUCGAUCAGAGCUCUCAUGGUCUAGAGCCAUUUCGAUGAUGGGAUUGUCUUGGACAUCAGAAGAGAUCUCGUAAAUCAAUCACCCGAAACCAAGCCCAUUUAAUUUUCCCCCAUUUGUAAUAAAGCAGUUUCUUUUGCUUUUAAAGAAAACUUAUAUAGGUAUAUUCAAAUAAAAACUUUUCUAACGAACAGAUAUCAUAAAAGCGGAUAGAAAUUCAUUUUUAAAUAUUUUUUCCUGGUGUUUAAUAGACUAAACUGAGGCUCACAUCAUCCACCGUCAAUUCACCCCAUAUCAUAGAGGCUAAUAUCCCAAAUUUUCUCAAAACUUUACAAAUUGAUACAAGGUAAACCAUUUGUUUUAAAAUUAAAAUAAAUAAAUAAUGGGAAUGGAGAAAGGCACAGAAAAAAUGAAAACAAAAGAUUAAAUCGGUUAAUUUUUUUGGGAGUCAUAUCUCAAAAAUAAAACGCGUCUCGACUCACCCAACUCUCUCCUAAACCAGUUUCGUUUUACAGUAACACUUUUGACUUCUUUUAACUGAUUGAAAGAUCUCCGAAAAAGUAAUUCGCAUAAAAAAAUACUCAAUGUGUGAAUCAUAAUAGAAGAAACUUUUUUUACGGUUUCAACAUGACCAAAGGUUUUGGUAGUAACUGCAAUGUAGCUAAAAACAUCUGAGGAACAGCCCCAAGAAAGACCUGCUGAGUUCCACCUUGAUAGAAGAGUUACAUGACGUUAGUAUUUUAGUGUUAAAAUCGACUUCCCGAGCACCAGAACUCUCGUCAUGAAGUCUACAACGAUUCCUAGUUCGACCUUCUUAACCACUGUUUUAUUCCUUUUGCUUUUCACCGAAGUACUGUGCUUGCCCCAGUACCACUGGACAAGUCAACCUUGUUACCCGGAAUCUGGUGAUUGCACCUCAGUGCCAGGGUCAGUCUAUUAUGCAGCAUCAUCAUCGAGUGGAAAAUGGUUUCCAUGCCCAACGGGUUUUACACGUGAUCAUGGCGGAAAAUGUAGACGAGGAGGAAGUAUCGGAUAAAAACAAUUGAAAAUACCGGGAAAAUUGGCCAAUAUUCACAUUUUAUAACACCUAGCUUAUAAAUUUAAAUUUUGAGUAGUUUCAUGAACUUAUGCUCAAAAUACAUACGUUUACAAUACACAAAAUUUGGCAGUUCCCUUUCAAA
rnacentral:misc_RNA from 1 species